GGGCCAGUGGCGCAACGGAUAACGCGCCUGACUACGAAUCAGGAGAUUGCAGGUUCGAAUCCUGCCUGGCUCG
rnacentral:tRNA from 1 species